rnacentral:snRNA from 1 species
GUGCCCACUUUAGCAGCAUAGAUACUAAAACUGGAACAAUACAGAGACUAAUAUGGUCCCUGCACAAGGAUGACACAAAAACUUGAGAAGCAUUCCAUAUUUUC